rnacentral:lncRNA from 1 species
GGGUGCUUGUCGUGUUCAGUGGGUGCUGUAGCAAUGGAAAAGGCACAGCCUUGGUCGGCAACUGUUGGGUCUUCUUAACAUCAUUACCAAAAGUAGACCGUUUUCUAAUUCUAGUAACAGUGCCAAAAAUGCCAAACCAAUCCCUCAUACCACUUAAGCCAAGUUGUCAUCCCCAGCAUGACAUGAGAGACGCGGUAUUGAAAUAUGCAAUUGCUCUUCUAAAUAAAUAAUGAAUGAGAUCUGCAAGCGCACAGAUUAAUACCGAUGUAGCAUUUUAACCGGGAAGUAUUCCAGAUAUCGUUAUUUAUAUUUUUACCACUGGGAAGGGAUUAGCAAUCAUCAAUAUUGAUUACAGAAUAGAAUAUGAGAUUGAGUAUUUAUCAUUGCAUAUAUAAUUGAGAACAUUUAUCUAACUCUUUCAUACAGGGAUAAGUGUCACAUAAAGGAUAUAUAAAGUAAUGAAUAGUGACAAAGAUAAUUAAUCUGAUCAGCAUAACUUAGCCACAUAUAAAUAUGAUAAGCACCUCAAUUAGAUAUUCUAAAAAGUCAUUAGCAUGGAAUUAGAACGAACUACAAGAAUAUUUCCUAAGUUAUUCUCAACUAUACAGUCUAGCAUUAUCAUAGUUAGUGCAAGCAUACUUAGCAAUCAUUGUGAGACAAGACUACGCCCAUGCAUAGUGAUAUUAGCAAGGUAAAUGAGAAACAUAGCAAUCACUCCCCUGUAAUAAUAUUGCUCUGCCAGCCCAAUACAUGAGAGGGACUAUAUAAGAAUCAAUGAAGCUGUCACUAUCACGAACUACCCCACGAUCUGGCAUAUUGGGUACAAUCCCCGAAACAGAGUCCUGAUUGGACUCAGCAGGAGGGCGGGCUCCCAGGGCAACUGGGCGGGCGCCCAGUGCCUGGCCCCGUUCGGCCUCCGCUUCCUUCCCAUGGCUUCUAGAGUCUUCUAGAUGUAAGAUAAUUACGCGGCACGUUAAUAUCUCUAUGUAAUCCCGACGUGUGGGCCUUUCUUCCGUAUUUCCUGAUAACCCCCUAUAGAAAUAGACAAACACCAAAACUCAUGGAAUUCUGUUAGAUAAAACCCUAAGUCUAGAUGUUGAUUUCAUUUGGAUCCUUUUCUUUGUUUAUUUGAUAAUUAUAUUUGAUACUUAAGGACCGUCAACAAACUCUCCCAAGCUUACCUCUUGCUCGUCCCUGAGCAAGGAUAGACUCAGUGAUGGAUCAGAAGUUGCUGCAAUACUUUUAAAAAUUGACGGUACACAUGCUUUUAAAUAAGAUCUGAUCUCUGAGUUAGAGUAACCUGUCAAGACUUAAAACUUACUUACUUUACCUUUCACCAUGGGACUUGUAACUGUCACUUCUGUCUUAAGUAGUUAAAAUAUAGAACAAUCUAGUCAAGUGCCACGUCUCUUAUUCUUGAUCAGCUAUAGCUCUAGAGUCUUUGCAGAUUUUCAAAUAAAACUCAGAGAUUCCUUGUAUGACUCUCUCAAAUCUCUCUUUUGUGAUAUUUCUGGAUCCUAACCAAGGAAGUGAUGGUAUAUGCCUUCUCUCAUUGCCUUCUCUCUCACCCUACUCUAAUAAGGCUUUAAUAUCUGGAGCUCAUAGGUGGGAGAUAAAAUAUACAUACUUACAAGACAUUUAUUGCAUAGUCAAACCAUGGAUCCAAAGUAACAAGUCAAUAAGUCAAAUCAAGAUAUGCAUGUGUGGCGAAUGAAUGGUAUAUGGUGAUGAUGGUGAUAACAAUGGUGGAAGUCUAAUUCUACUUUUGCUCUUUUGAGGGGAUACAUACCUUCCUUGCGCUUUGAAAUUUUGUGAGGAGAAUGAGAUGCUCUGUAUUUUCUUUUUCUUUUCUCUCAGGUGGGUAUCUUGUACCCCUAAUUCUACUGUCGGACACUUGUCCAUUUUUACCUCUCGUCUCACUUUUUCUUCUCUUUCGAGGUUCCGGGCACUUGCCCCUUUUUAUUUCCUCGUAUACUUUUUUCUUUCUUCUUUUUUUUCAGAGCACUCAUCUCUUGAGAUAAUAUAGCAAGUGGUAGUAACAAGAUAACUUGAGCAUUUAUUUCACAAGAGAAAAACAGAAAUAUUUUUUGUUAUUCUCUCCCGGAUUAGGAGUAGAAUAUUUUUGGGUGAUUCUGGAGAUGGAAAUGGGUGGAUAUAUGUGGAUGGUACUUCCGGAGUAGAAGUAGCAUAUAUGAGUGAAUGUGCAAGUGAAUCUUGAUUUAACCACAUGACAAGCUCCUAAGGGUCUACACAGCUUGACCACACUCAAUGCUCAUAAGCAGUAAAUAGUAAAUGUGUGGCUCAAAGUCUAGCAAGCAUGUAUAUAUUACUGUGGUAGGAAUUUAAACUCUCAUCAUAUAGGAACUCAUCAUGCAAUAUUUUAAAGAUUUUUUAAAGAUAAAAUUCUCCAGAAUUCUAGCAUCUCUAGGAACAGAUAAACAGCAGCUCAACCUUCCCAUAUCAUAUCCGUUAACAACUUAGACUUCAGAUCAAGUUUUCUUCCCACAAGUUUAGGUUUAGGGCAAUCUUUAAAUUAUAAUAGUUAUGUCUAAACUUGAGAGAGAACUUAAAAUUUUCAAAUUAGGCAGAGCAAUUAUUCAUCAUAUCCAUGCUAGAGUUUUAUUUAGAUACAGAUUAGCAAAGCCACUUUAUUUAUUUAUUAAACACACUAAGCAAAAGAUAUAUAUAUAAGCACAAGAUCUUUAUUUGUUUUUUCAUAAUUAUGUAUAUAUAGUAUAAGUAUAAAGAUAGAUAGAAAUACUUAUCGAGAUGAAUGGGGGUGCUCUCCCCCAAGCUGGAUUUUGACGUAAUUUCUCUUGAUGUAGCUAGCAAGUGGCAGAGGUGUAUUUGAAAGUUAGCAGCAUUCUGACAGCGAUUAGAAUGUCCUCUGUCUACUAGUCUUCUUGAUUCUUUGAUUCUGUGGAGCUCAAAUAGACAACAAAACUUUGUGGAACUGAUUAAGUGUUAGCAAAAAUAUCUAGCCUUUAUCAUGUUGAGACUCCUUAAUAAAUAUUACUCCUUAUUUUUAUAUUUUCAUUUUUAUAUAGCAGAAAAAUAUUUAUUUUAUUUUUAUGCCACCACAGUGAAUGUACUUAUGGGUUUUAUGCCACUCGUCUACUCACAUGAGGCUUACUGUUUUUCAACAAUUUUAUUUUGUUUUUAGGAUAGUAUAAAUAUAACUAAUUAAGUAAACUAUUUUAAAUAAUUGAAAGAGAAAGGAUAACUACCAAAUUUACCUCUUGGCAAGGCGUUCGGUGUUUUUAAGUCCUCCGAACGGGACUCUUCUCUUUCUCAAUUGUCCUGGGAUUCGUUGGGUGUCGGAGUCGGUACUUCCGACAGCGCCUCUUCUUCAUGUAUGGUUAUCUUCUCUUUCCACACCUGACUUGGUGCUACGGUCUCCUCAGGAUAGUUCUGUUUAAACUCUACGUCUUCUGACCUUACCACUUCUCCUUUGUAGCCUGCCCAUCCGUCCUUGAUGAUUUGCCUCCUCUGGUUGCGGUUGCGUCGUUUUCUUACCUGCUUAGAUUAUUCAAAGAUGUAGUUAGGGUUAGUAAAAUAACGGCGUACCUUCUCUGAGGGGAAGUGCAUAUGGACUUCUCCGGUUCCAAUGUAGAUGAUUGCUUUAACGCUGCUGAGGAACGGUCUUCCAAGGAUGAUGGGUGGAUCGUAUUCGUCUUCUCCCAUGUCAAUAACCUGAAAGUCUGUGUAGACAAAAUGAUCGUCUAUUUUGACAGGGACAUCAGUUACUGUUCCUUUAACUUCUUGAAAUGUCUGAUCUGCCAUCUGGAGCUGAAUGUAUGUUGGUUUUAGGGGCAUGGUUCCGAACAAGAGCCGAUAGGUGACUGCGUGUCGACGAAAGCUGGUCGGCAGUCUACCUUGGGGUAUACCCACGGUAGUAGUUUAUCGGUAGACGGUGCGCAAACUACGAACUCGAUGGUGACGCAAGACACGGACAAGCUUUUUAUCCAGGUUCGGCCGCCGAGUUGGCGUAAUACCUACGUCCUGCGUCUGGUUGUAUUGAUUUGUGUUGAGAGAAUAUGAUCUGUCCUAGGGGGGUCCCUUGCCCCUCCUUAUAUAGUCU